UUUUACGCAGCCCGACCCAAAAUAGAUCGUGUUGUGCCGUCUGGGAAGCUCCGGCUUCCUUUUUCAACUCUGCAGUUGUGAGAAGAGAUCCCGGUUAAUCCGACAGCGAGGUUUCUCCCGCAGUGUCCCAAAAAAAAAAGGCUUCAACGACAGCGGGCGUUAAGGGACGGAACAAGUCGAAAAUAUACGGCUGCGUUCCCAUCUUUGGUGGAAAGCCCGCGUCGUUGGGGGAAGCCGGCUACGCGGUGGUUUACAAACCACGGUUUACGGAGCAGGGAGGACGCGACGCCCGGUGAAACCAACGAGGACCGAGCAUCCCGGGGUUACGUGAUUUUCCCCCUCUGGCGACCUUCUGACCAGCGAAGUCAAGAUUCACUUAACAACGGCGUUGCUAAUUUCACAACGGCGAGGAAUUCACUUAGCAAACACGGUGAGAAAAUUCAUAAAACAGGGCGGGACUUGCUUAACAAAUGUCUCACUUAACAACUGACAUUUGGGGCUCCAUUCUGGCUGUACGUCGGGGGCUACCCUGUCUCGAAUGUGAUUUUGGUCUGUAGAAUUUAACAAGAGUUGGAAGGGACCUGGGAGAUCAUCUAGUUCAACCCCCUGGCUCAUGCAGAGGAGACACGGACUAG